rnacentral:rRNA from 1 species
AACGAACGCUGGCGGCAUGCCUAACACAUGCAAGUCGAACGAGACCUUCGGGUCUAGUGGCGCACGGGUGCGUAACGCGUGGGAACCUGCCCUUAGGUUCGGAAUAACUCCCCGAAAGGGGUGCUAAUACCGGCUAAUGUCUUCGGACCAAAGAUUUAUCGCCUUUGGAUGGGCCCGCGUUGGAUUAGCUAGUUGGUAGGGUAAAAGCCUACCAAGGCGACGAUCCAUAGCUGGUCUGAGAGGAUGAUCAGCCACACUGGGACUGAGACACGGCCCAGACUCCUGCGGGAGGCAGCAGUGGGGAAUAUUGGACAAUGGGCGAAAGCCUGAGCCAGCAAUGCCGCGUGAGUGAUGAAGGCCUUAGGGUUGUAAAGCUCUUUUACCCGGGAUGAUAAUGACAGUCCCGGGAGAAUAAGCUCCGGCUAACUCCGU